AUAGCUGACAGGCGUUGCAUGCUGGGGUGUUGUGGGGCCGCUCGGACCGGGCUGUUGACCGGUCACAGAGUCAAAAAAGAUUGACGAAGACGAAGGAGCCUGGGAAGCUCCGGCACAGAAGGUAACACCCCUGUAGUCGUAAGUCAUUCUCUCUGGAGCGUCACCCCAAGUAAUGCGGAACCCCUGAAAUUCCGCAUGAAUCUGGCGGGACCACCCGUUAAGCCUAAAUACUCCUUGGUGACCGAUAGCGGACAAGUACCGUGAGGGAAAGGUGAAAAGUACCCCGGGAGGGGAGUGAAAUAGUACCUGAAACCGAUUGCCUACAAUCCGUCGGAGCCUGCAAGGGUGACGGCGUGCCUUUUGAAGAAUGAGCCUGCGAGUUAGUGGUACGUGGCGAGGUUAACCCGUGUGGGGAAGCCGUAGCGAAAGCGAGUCCGAAUAGGGCGAUUCAGUCGCGUGCUCUAGACCCGAAGCGAAGUGAUCUAUCCAUGGCCAGGGUGAAGCGACGGUAAGACGUCGUGGAGGCCCGAACCCACUU
rnacentral:rRNA from 1 species